UACGUAGGUGGCAAGCGUUGUCCGGAUUUACUGGGUGUAAAGGGCGUGCAGCCGGAGAGGCAAGUCAGAUGUGAAAUCCGCGGGCUCAACCCGCGAACUGCAUUUGAAACUGCUUCCCUUGAGUAUCGGAGAGGUAAUCGGAAUUCCUAGUGUAGCGGUGAAAUGCGUAGAUAUUAGGAGGAACACCAGUGGCGAAGGCGGCCUGCUGGACGGUGACUGACGCUGAGGCUCGAAGGUGUGGGUAUCAAACAGG
rnacentral:rRNA from 1 species